AAUAUAUAUAAAUGAACUUAAUUUAUAUAUUGAAAAGUAUUGCAAAUAUAACAAUAGGCU
rnacentral:rRNA from 1 species